AUAACGGUCCUUUUCAGGACCACAUAUUUUCAUGAUUGUAACUUCA
rfam:Octopus bimaculoides Scaffold64878_contig_47, whole genome shotgun sequence.